GGGGAUAUGGCGGAAUUGGUAGACGCUACGGACUU
rnacentral:tRNA from 11 species